UACGUAGGGGGCUAGCGUUGUCCGGAUUUAUUGGGCGUAAAGAGCGUGUAGGCGGCUUGGUAGGUCCGCUGUGAAAACUCGAGGCUCAACCUCGAGAUGUCGGCGGAAACCACUUGGCUAGAGUCCGGAAGAGGAGAGUGGAAUUCCUGGUGUAGCGGUGAAAUGCGCAGAUAUCAGGAAGAACACCAAUGGCGAAAGCAGCUCUCUGGGACGGUACUGACGCUGAGACGCGAAAGCGUGGGGAGCGAACAGG
rnacentral:rRNA from 1 species